rnacentral:rRNA from 1 species
AGUGAACGCUGGCGGUAGACCUAACACAUGCAAGUCGAACGGCAGCACAGUAAGAGCUUGCUCUUACGGGUGGCGAGUGGCGGACGGGUGAGGAAUACAUCGGACUCUACUUUUUCGUGGGGGAUCACGUAGGGAAACUUACGCUAAUACCGCAUACGACCUACGGGUGAAAGCAGGGGAUCUUCGGACCUUGCGCGAUUGAAUGAGCCGAUGUCGGAUUAGCUAGUUGGCGGGGUAAAGGCCCACCAAGGCGACGAUCCGUAGCUGGUCUGAGAGGAUGAUCAGCCACACUGGAACUGAGACACGGUCAAGACUCCUACGGGAGGCAGCAGUGGGGAAUAUUGGACAAUGGGCGCAAGCCUGAUCCAGCCAUACCGCGUGGGUGAAGAAGGCCUUCGGGUUGUAAAGCCCUUUUGUUGGGAAAGAAAAGCAGCAGGUUAAUACCCCGCUGUUCUGACGGUACCCAAAGAAUAAGCACCGGCUAACUUCGUG